GGAGUGUACUCAGAGCAGGGGGCCUGAAGAAAUGGGUCCUCUGUUUACAACACACCCAAUAGGAAUCUGGCUUUUUUGUGGCAAGGGACACAAAACUUGUGGCCUUCCUGUGAACAGAUACCCUACAUAU